AAGCACUUUGUGCCCUGAGGUGUGAUGAGUGUGCUAAUUACUGGGCUCCUGGUUGCUGUAUCCUAGCAGGCUGCUUGUUGUGAAUCAGUUUGGCCCGAGCAGUGGCAAUGCCACUUAUGCAUCUGGAGAAGCUCCCAAAAGCAGGAAUAUGCUGUCUGAACUGGGCAUUGAGACUGUAAAGGGUCUGCUGCUGAACAGGAGCAGGACUUUGCUUUGGGGUGCAACGGAGGUCCUGGGUCCCAGUGUGAGGCAUGAUACAAAGAUGCAAGGCCCAGCAGAAGACAACUCAGGUUUGGAGCCUUUGAAACAUCUGCUGACAAACUCUGAUGAGAAGGCAGUAAUGUGCUUGAAACAAACUUGA
rnacentral:lncRNA from 1 species